rnacentral:rRNA from 1 species
UACGAAGGGGGCUAGCGUUGCUCGGAAUCACUGGGCGUAAAGCGCACGUAGGCGGCUUUCUAAGUCAGGGGUGAAAUCCUGGAGCUCAACUCCAGAACUGCCUUUGAUACUGGAAAGCUUGAGUUCGGGAGAGGUGAGUGGAACUGCGAGUGUGGAGGUGAAAUUCGUAGAUAUUCGCAAGAACACCAGUGGCGAAGGCGGCUCACUGGCCCGAUACUGACGCUGAGGUGCGAAAGCGUGGGGAGCAAACAGG